rnacentral:rRNA from 1 species
AGGAUCAUUGUCGAUAUCUUAAAAGUCAACACGUGAAUCAGUUUGAAUACAUAUGGGUUGGCUUGAGGUGUUUCGCUCGGCCAAGUCCUCGACAACCUCAUCUCCUCGGAGUGGAACGUAGCGAAAUGCGAUACCUGGUGUGAAUUGCAGAAUCCCGCGGAACCAUCGAGUCUUUGAACGCAAGUUGCGCCCGAGGCCUCUUGGCCGAGGGCACGCCUGCCUGGGCGUCACGCCAAACACGCUCCCACCCAACUAACUUGGGGUGGGACGCGGCAUGUGGCUCCUCGUCUCGCAAGGGGCGGUGGGCCAAAGAUCCGGCUGCCGGCCUAUCGUGCCGGACACAGCGCGUGGUAGGCGACCACGCUUUACUAAACGCAGUGCCUCUGGUGCGUAGCCGACGCGAUGGCCCCAAUGGACCCUUUUAACGGAGUGCAUGACGCUUCGACCGCGACCCCAGGUCAGGCGGGACUACCCGCUGAA